UAAGGUUUCCUGAGGAAGGUUCGUCCACUCAGGGUUAGUCGGGGCCUAAGCCGAGGGCGAAAGCCAUAGGCGAUGGAUAACAGGUAGAAAUUCCUGUACCACCGAAGGUUGUUUGAAUGAUGUGGGGACACAGGAGGAUAAGCUGAGCACGCCGUUGGUAGAGCGUGUCCAAGCGUCAAGGGAGUAUGAAUAGGCAAAUCCGUUCAUAUAUAUUCUGAGGCGUGAUGGGGUGGUCAAUAGACCGGAAGCAGCUGAUUUCACACUGUCAAGAAAAGCCGCUAAUUAGACCUAAGGUGCCCGUACCGCAAACCGACACAGGUAGAUGAGGAGAGAAUCCUAAGGUGAGCGAGAGAACUAUUGUUAAGGAACUCGGCAAAAUAACCCCGUAACUUCGGGAGAAGGGGUGCCUGCUUCGGCAGGCCGCAGUGAAAAGGCCCAGGCAACUGUUUACCAAAAACACAGGUCUCUGCAAAAGCGAAAGCUGAAGUAUAGGGGCUGACGCCUGCCCGGUGCUGGAAGGUUAAGGGGACGUGUCAUCGCAAGAGAAGCACUGAACUUAAGCCCCAGUAAACGGCGGCCGUAACUAUAACGGUCCUAAGGUAGCGAAAUUCCUUGUCGGGUAAGUUCCGACCCGCACGAAAGGCGUAAUGAUCUGGGCACUGUCUCAACAAUAGACUCGGUGAAAUUGUAGUACCGGUAAAGAUGCCGGUUACCCGCAGCAGGACGGAAAGACCCCGUGGAGCUUUACUGUAGCUUGAUAUUGAGUUUCGGCGUUGCAUGUACAGGAUAGGUGGGAGACAAUGAAGCAAGUACGCCAGUAUUUGCGGAGUCAUCGUUGGGAUACCACCCUUGUAACGCUGGAAUUCUAACCAUGUACCGUGAACCGGUGCUGAGACAGUGUCAGGUGGGCAGUUUGACUGGGGCGGUCGCCUCCUAAAGAGUAACGGAGGCGCCCAAAGGUUCCCUCAGAGCGGACGGAAAUCGCUCGAAGAGUGUAAAGGCAGAAGGGAGCUUGACUGCGAGACCAACAAGUCGAGCAGGGACGAAAGUCGGGCUUAGUGAUCCGGUGG
rnacentral:rRNA from 1 species